UGGGGAAUAUUUGACAAUGGGCGAAAGCCUGAUCCAGCCAUGCCGCGUGUGUGAAGAAGGUCUUCGGAUUGUAAAGCACUUUAAGUUGGGAGGAAGGGCAGUAAGCGAAUACCUUGCUGUUUUGACGUUACCGACAGAAUAAGCACCGGCUAAUUCUGUGCCAGCAGCCGCGGUAAUACAGAGGGUGCAAGCGUUAAUCGGAAUUACUGGGCGUAAAGCGCGCGUAGGUGGUUCGUUAAGUUGAAUGUGAAAGCCCCGGGCUCAACCUGUGAACUGCAUCCAAAACUGGCGAGCUAGAGUAGGGCAGAGGGUGGUGGAAUUUCCUGUGUAGCGGUGAAAUGCGUAGAUAUAGGAAGGAACACCAGUGGCGAAGGCGACCACCUGGGCUCAUACUGACACUGAGGUGCGAAAGCGUGGGGAGCAAACAGG
rnacentral:rRNA from 1 species